UAAUACGGAGGGUGCAAGCGUUACCCGGAAUCACUGGGCGUAAAGGGCGUGUAGGCGGACCACUAAGUCUGGUUUUAAAGACCAGGGCUCAACCCUGGCAGUGGACUGGAGACUGGUGGUCUGGACCUCUGGAGAGAGAACCGGAAUUCCUGGUGUAGCGGUGGAAUGCGUAGAUACCAGGAGGAACACCGAUGGCGAAGGCAGGUUCUUGGACAGAAGGUGACGCUGAGGCGCGAAAGUGUGGGGAGCGAACCGG
rnacentral:rRNA from 1 species